CAGCCGCCGCGGUAAUACAGAGGGUGCAAGCGUUAAUCGGAAUUACUGGGCGUAAAGCGCGCGUAGGUGGUUUGUUAAGUUGAAUGUGAAAUCCCCGGGCUCAACCUGGGAACUGCAUCCAAAACUGGCAGGCUAGAGUAGGGCAGAGGGUGGUGGAAUUUCCUGUGUAGCGGUGAAAUGCGUAGAUAUAGGAAGGAACACCAGUGGCGAAGGCGACCACCUGGGCUCAUACUGACACUGAGGUGCGAAAGCGUGGGGAGCAAACAGGAUUAGAUACCCCGGUAGUCCCUGUCUCUUAUAC
rnacentral:rRNA from 1 species